rnacentral:rRNA from 1 species
UACAGAGGUCCCAAGCGUUGUUCGGAUUCAUUGGGCGUAAAGGGUGCGUAGGUGGCGCCGUAAGUCAGGUGUGAAAUCUCGGGGCUUAACUCCGAAACUGCAUUUGAUACUGCGGUGCUUGAGGACUGGAGAGGAGACUGGAAUUUACGGUGUAGCAGUGAAAUGCGUAGAGAUCGUAAGGAAGACCAGAGGCGAAGGCGGUUACCUGGACAGUUACUGACGCUCAGGCACGAAAGCAUGGGGAGCAAAAGGG